GUCGAGGAUCUUCGGCAAUGGGCGCAAGCCUGACCGAGCGACGCCGCGUGUGCGAUGAAGGCCUUCGGGUUGUAAAGCACUGUCGAGGGGGAGGAAAGCCCGCAAGGGUCUGACCUAUCCCUGGAGGAAGCACGGGCUAAGUUCGUGCCAGCAGCCGCGGUAAGACGAACCGUGCGAACGUUGUUCGGAAUCACUGGGCUUAAAGGGCGCGUAGGCGGGUUCUCCAGUCAGGGGUGAAAUCUUUCGGCUCAACCGGAAAAGUGCCCCUGAUACUGAGAGUCUCGAGGGAGGUAGGGGCAUGUGGAACUUCCGGUGGAGCGGUGAAAUGCGUAGAUAUCGGAAGGAACGCCGGUGGCGAAAGCGACGUGCUGGACCUCUUCUGACGCUGAGGCGCGAAAGCCAGGGGAGCAAACGGGAUUAGAAACCCUGGUAGUCC
rnacentral:rRNA from 1 species